CCUCAGUUGACGAUAGGUCAACUCUCCGAUGCACUGGGGAGGGACGUCCAGCCCCUGUUGCCAGCACCCCCCCAAAAAACACCUCUGGGCUCCCAAUUCUUGCUGCUUCCCCCUCCCCCAACAGCAAGGGACCCAGGCGUCCGACCUGGUUGAGACGGGAUGGAGAUGAGGAGGCGUAUGAAGAAUGGGGGUGUAGAGUGAGGGGGAGGGGAGCCGGGGGUAGCUCGGAGCUUGGGCGGUCAGGAUAUGAGGGUCGGGAUUUAAAAAAAAAAAAAAAAAAAAAAAAAGGUGAGGAGACAAUUUGGUUUUCGUGUCGCUGGGUAAAGUGCGGAGCUGGAAGAGAGAAGGAGGGAGGAGGGAGGGAGGGGGAGGGGAGCUGCUGAGGGAUGGGGGAGCCUCCGAGAGGAGAGGGAUUGGGGGGAAGGGAAGUGGUCGGGGAGCAGGGUCUGAGUGGCAGAAGGAAGCUGAGGAAGAAGAGAAACAGAUCCAGAGAGGGAGGGAGAUGAAGAGAGACAAGGAGAAUCGGAAAAACAGAGAGAUCCAGAGACUGAGAACAGAGGUGGGGGAGGGAAGGAUUUGGGGGAGACAGUGACUGGUAGCAGAAGGAAGUUGAGGAGACACACACAGAGAGAAAUAUCCAGAGAGAGAAGGGGACAAAAGCAGGAAGAGAUGCAAAGAGAGAACAGCAAGAGAUGAGGGAGAAAUAGAAGGGAGGAUGUCGUUCGGUUCUCAUCAAGACAAGAAUCAGGCUGGGGAACAAAGAGGAUAGAUAAACGCAUUCAGGACUGGGCUGGAGAACUAGGCAACAGUUGUGAACAUAGCUGUCACUUCUAAAACUAACCAGUGAGUAUGGGAUGGGCCAAUUUCAGGUAGGGAAAAAAAAAAAAAAACAGACGAUUUUAACUUUGUUCUUGGUCUGAGUUUCAGGAAUGUCUCCUGGCUUCUGGGUGACCUUGGACCAAACAUUUCCUGUCCUUCUAAACUCAGCCAUUCUGGGGACCAGAGUUGCCUUGAGACAAAAUGAUAACAGCCUGGAAAGUCG
rnacentral:lncRNA from 1 species